GACGAACGCUGGCGGCGUGCCUAACACAUGCAAGUCGAGCGAAUGAAGUUCCUUCGGGAACGGAUUUAGCGGCGGACGGGUGAGUAACACGUGGGCAACCUGCCUCAUAGAGGGGAAUAGCCUUCCGAAAGGGAGAUUAAUACCGCAUAAGAUUGUAGUACCGCAUGGUACAGCAAUUAAAGGAGCAAUCCGCUAUGAGAUGGGCCCGCGGCGCAUUAGCUAGUUGGUGAGGUAACGGCUCACCAAGGCGACGAUGCGUAGCCGACCUGAGAGGGUGAUCGGCCACAUUGGGACUGAUACACGGCCCAGACUCCUACGGGAGGCAGCAGUGGGGAAUAUUGCACAAUGGGGGAAACCCUGAUGCAGCAACGCCGCGUGAGUGAUGACGGCCUUCGGGUUGUAAAGCUCUGUCUUCAGGGACGAUAAUGACGGUACCUGAGGAGGAAGCCACGGCUAACUACGUGCCAGCCGCCGCCGUAACAC
rnacentral:rRNA from 1 species